GAAGCUCUCAACCCUAUCAUGGCCAUCGUUCAUUUCCAGACAUUCCCAUUCUUUCUUAACGUAGAGGGCUGCACCACUGCCUUUCCUGCCUUGCCUCUCUCUUUUGAAAAGUCGCUAGCCAUCCAUCACAGCACUCCAGCUGUGUGAGUCAUUCCACCACGUUUCUGUGAUUUUUCUCCUGUUUUUGGAUUCCAAGAAAAGCCAGGUAGGAUUAUUUUUAUUGUUAUUCUUUUUUAAUGGCAGGCAUUGUGUUCAACUUAAAAAAGGAACGCAUGAAGAAUAGCUUUGUUUGCAUUCUGGUAAGUGCUGAGGCUUUGGCUGAUGACAGCUUUCAGCUGCAGCUGAACUAGGCUGGAUUUGUCUCCUGCUCUCCAUAGGUGAGUGUUUCUCUUCCAGAUCUUUGAAUCAGCUUUCUACACGGCUUAAGUGAUGGAACAGGAAAGACUCCAAUAUGGUAACAACGUGAUUUCUAGUGUUUUGGGUGAGGUUUGCCUGCUGAACAGCAAGACAAAAGAAGCUUAAAUUACAGAAGCAGAGAAGCAGAGACAGUCUAGAGGCUCAAUACAGAAAGAUUGUUUCACGUGUAAUGAAAAGCUAGUGUCCAGAUGAUCACUGCGGCCAGAUGGCAAUUUUGAUGCCCUCGUCACUAAGACUUGUCCAAGCCCUGAUGUAUGUGAAGCUCAUCAGGAGGGAAUGCUCGCAAGAAUCAGCUAACACAAUAGCAGCAAGCUUUCAGUGACAGCGUUCAGGAAGGGUGACGAUUCAGGCUGGGAGCAGGGUGUAAGAGAAUGAACUCUGUAGGAGCGCUGCUGUCAUAGGCCACCAAGGGCCCGGGAUGCCUGGCUGAAAUUUGAUGUUGCAGAUACCUUGGUGUCACUGGAAUCCAUGGAGUUGACACAGUCCUCUGAUGGCUGGAUUUCGGCUUUCUAAGGGUAUUCCUUUCUGUUUCUCAUCUUUUCGGGUGAUAUUGCUUUGCUUUCCUUGGCUUUUUAGUAAUUCCUAUUUUGGUUAUUGUUUCUGGAAUGG